CUACGGGGCGCUGCAGUGAGGAAUAUUGCACAAUGGGGGAACCCUGAUGCAGCAACGCCGCGUGGAGGAUGACGCAUUUCGGUGUGUAAACUCCUUUUAUAUGUCAAGAAAAUGACGGUAGCAUAUGAAUAAGCACCGGCUAACUCCGUGCCAGCAGCCGCGGUAAUACGGAGGGUGCAAGCGUUACUCGGAAUCACUGGGCGUAAAGGACGCGUAGGCGGGUUGGAAAGUCAGGUGUGAAAUCCUACAGCUUAACUGUAGAACUGCACUUGAAACUUCUAAUCUAGAGUAUGGGAGGGGGAGAUGGAAUUAGUGGUGUAGGGGUAAUAUCCGUAGAUAUCACUAGGAAUACCUAAAGCGAAGGCGAUCUCCUGGAACAUUACUGACGCUAAGGCGUGAAAGCGUGGGGAGCAAACAGGAUUAGAUACCCUUGUAGUC
rnacentral:rRNA from 1 species